AUAACAAGAAAGUAACAGUUGUAAACAAAGAAAACAAUUAAAAUGUGUCAAAAGACCUAUAACAUUUAUCCCUGCAAAAACAGGAAUAACUAUCACAACAAUGAUGAAAACAAUGAAGAAUUCCAAAGGUAAAAGAACAGUGUCAACAAACCUUGUUGUACUCCGUAUCAACAAAUAUACAGAAUAGAGAUCAAUAAAGUGAAUGCAAACAAAGCAACAAAAUAAGUUGACAGUAUGUACAAAAUUUAUAAAACAAGAGUAAAUUCAUUGAAUAGUGAAGCAAUAUAUACAAGUAAGAAGGAAAGAAAAAUAAUCAAAAACACAAUUAAAUGAAGAACAAUGUAAACAUUACGAAAAGCAUUUGUUAAGAAACCAGCUGCAGAUUGUAUGUCAAAUCGACAUAAUUUUGUGCUAAAGAAAGUAAAAAGUCUGAACAAAUUCAACAACUGACUAUUUGACCUUUGUUCAAAGCGAUGUUUGUCGAUUGAAUGACUGAACAAUUUUAACUCAAUCACCACAUAGCUUAGUCUCGAUCAUCCAGCCGCUUUAUUUUUCAAAGUAGAGCGUCUGGAUGACAAGUGAUAUAAAAAUGGUAAUUUAUGACCUUCGGAAUAGUAUCGGCUUUUUUAGCCUGUUGUCAAAGAUAAUGUCCAAGACGAAUAACCAAGAAGUUGGUUAUUGACUUCGGAAGAAAUGACAUUACGAUAAUAUUAUUGAAAAGCCCGAGUGAACCGAUUGUUGUUUAAAGCUAUUUAUAUAUUUUUGUGACGACAUACAAUUCAUGGAAAACACCAUACAGCAUGGCUUACAUGGGCAUGGACGCGAAGGAAAAACCAGCACAUCCAACCUUGGUAAGAUCAUAAAGAUGUUAUAACAACACACACUGUAACAUAAAUUGCAUAUGCAACCUGAUACACCGAGUAGUUAUAUUCUUUCAUGCAUGUCCGUGCAACGAUAACGAAUUUAUAAUUAUACAAUUAAGUUGACUGGGACAACUCGAACAGUCGUAUACGUUAUAAAUACAUUUUGGGUUGAUGUGUAGUAUCGUUAACUUUAUAAAUACUUGAUGUAAAACUUCUAUUACGCC
rnacentral:lncRNA from 1 species